CCUUCGAUAGCUCAGCUGGUAGAGCGGAGGACUGUAGGGGCGCACCUCGCGGGAAUCCUUAGGUCGCUGGUUCGAUUCCGGCUCGAAGGA
rnacentral:tRNA from 1 species